AUUGAACGCUGGCGGCAGGCCUAACACAUGCAAGUCGAGCGGAUGAAGGGAGCUUGCUCCUGGAUUCAGCGGCGGACGGGUGAGUAAUGCCUAGGAAUCUGCCUGGUAGUGGGGGAUAACGUCCGGAAACGGGCGCUAAUACCGCAUACGUCCUGAGGGAGAAAGUGGGGGAUCUUCGGACCUCACGCUAUCAGAUGAGCCUAGGUCGGAUUAGCUAGUUGGUGGGGUAAAGGCCUACCAAGGCGACGAUCCGUAACUGGUCUGAGAGGAUGAUCAGUCACACGGGAACUGAGACACGGUCCAGACUCCUACGGGAGGCAGCAGUCGGGAAUAUUGGACAAUGGGCGAAAGCCUGAUCCAGCCAUGCCGCGUGUGUGAAGAAGGUCUUCGGAUUGUAAAGCACUUUAAGUUGGGAGGAAGGGCAGUAAGUUAAUACCUGGCUGUUUUGACGUUACCAACAGAAUAAGCACCGGCUAACUUCGUG
rnacentral:rRNA from 1 species